rnacentral:rRNA from 1 species
UACGGAGGGAGCUAGCGUUGUUCGGAAUUACUGGGCGUAAAGCGCGCGUAGGCGGCUUUGUAAGUUAGAGGUGAAAGCCCGGAGCUCAACUCCGGAACUGCCUUUAAAACUGCAUCGCUUGAAUCCAGGAGAGGUGAGUGGAAUUCCGAGUGUAGAGGUGAAAUUCGUAGAUAUUCGGAAGAACACCAGUGGCGAAGGCGGCUCACUGGACCGGUAUUGACGCUGAGGUGCGAAAGCGUGGGGAGUAAACAGG